CCGUCUCAUCCACCCACCGAGAAAUGAAACACACCCUCCACCUUUCGCUAACAACCAGAGAGAAAACAUAUCAGGAUCGUUUUUCCUGGGCAAUUAGAAAGAGAAAGGCAUCCCAGAAGGCUUACAAUGGCAGCCUAUUCUUUUACUGAUCUGACUUCAUUUGAAAGCAAGCUGACGACUGAAACGCAGUCCGUCUCAUCAGAGACACUUGAAGCUCCUGUUAACCAUCAGAGCAGCAGUCCGUUUACCACCACAACACUCCUCAGCAGCGCGUCCCACGAUGAGG
rnacentral:lncRNA from 1 species